UUUUGUUUAUUGAUCUAAGCCUGAACAGCUACGCGUAGUGUCCAGUAGAGGGCUCUGUUGUUUAGUUAGCGGCAAGCUGCACUUCCAGCUCAGACCGGUUUUGUGGCGCACAUUUCCCAGUAGGCAGCUCUCAAUGAAGCGUGAAGCAGCGUGAUACCGGACUCUAGCGAAACGAACAAUUUGCAGCCCUUGGAAUGCAGAGCGAGAGGGGAAGCCAGAGGGGACAGCGACACAGAGGAAAAUCUUUAAUGAUACAUGUAGCUGCCACCUUAAUCAGUCACAGCUAACACAGUGCUGACCAGAGCACCAGCAUUUACAAGGGAAACGGCGUGGUCGCUUACCUCUCUCCACUGUUUGGUCUCUACGCCCUGGGUGUACAACACAACCACUGAGAAGUGAUGAAGAAGG